rnacentral:rRNA from 1 species
UACGAAGGGGGCUAGCGUUGCUCGGAUUCACUGGGCGUAAAGGGUGCGUAGGUGGCGAGGUAAGUCGGAUGUGAAAGCUCGGAGCUCAACUCCGAAAUGGCAUUGGAAACUACCUUGCUCGAGGGUUGGAGGGGGGACUGGAAUUCUCGGUGUAGCAGUGAAAUGCGUAGAUAUCGAGAGGAACACCAGUGGCGAAGGCGAGUCCCUGGACAACUCCUGACACUGAGGCACGAAAGCUAGGGGAGCAAACAGG